rnacentral:misc_RNA from 1 species
GCAAACUUGGUCAUUUAGAGGAAGUAAAAGUCGUAACAAGGUUUCCGUAGGUGAACCUGCGGAAGGAUCAUUAUCGAGUUUUGAACUGGGUUGUAGCUGGCCUUCCGAGGCAUGUGCACGCCCUACUCAUCCACUCUACACCUGUGCACUUACUGUGGGUUUCAAAUCGUGAAGCGGGUCCGUUCAGUCGGGCUUGCGGAGCGGUUUGUGCCUGCGUUUACCACAAACACUACAAAGUACUAGAAUGUGUAUUGCGAUGUAACGCAUCUAUAUACAACUUUCAGCAACGGAUCUCUUGGCUCUCGCAUCGAUGAAGAACGCAGC